UACGUAGGGACCGAGCGUUGUCCGGAAUCAUUGGGCGUAAAGAGCUCGUAGGCGGUGUGUCGCGUCGGCCGUGAAAACCUGCAGCUUAACUGUGGGCUUGCGGUCGAUACGGGCAUCACUGGAGUUCGGCAGGGGAGACUGGAAUUCCUGGUGUAGCGGUGAAAAUGCGCAGAUAUCAGGAGGAACACCGGUGGCGAAGGCGGGUCUCUGGGCCGAUACUGACGCUGAGGAGCGAAAGCGUGGGGAGCAAACAGG
rnacentral:rRNA from 1 species